rnacentral:rRNA from 1 species
GUGAGGAAUCUUCCACAAUGGGCGAAAGCCUGAUGGAGCAACGCCGCGUGAAGGAUGAAGGUCUUCGGAUUGUAAACUUCUUUUAUGAGUGAAGAAUAUGACGGUAACUCAUGAAUAAGCACCGGCUAACUACGUGCCAGCAGCCGCGGUCAUACGUAGGGUGCAAGCAUUAUCCGGAGUGACUGGGCGUAAAGAGUUGCGUAGGCGGUUAUGUAAGCGAAUAGUGAAACCUGGUGGCUCAACCACACAGACUAUUAUUCGAACUGCAUAACUCGAGAAUGGUAGAGGUAACUGGAAUUUCUUGUGUAGGAGUGAAAUCCGUAGAUAUAAGAAGGAACACCAAUGGCGUAGGCAGGUUACUGGGCCAUUUCUGACGCUAAGGCACGAAAGCGUGGGGAGCGAACCGGAUUAGAUAUCCGGGUAGUCC